rnacentral:tRNA from 3 species
UGGGUAGUGGUCUAUCGGCCAUUUAGCAACCUUGUGAAGGUAGAAGCCAUAAUGGAAUAUUAGUGGUGUGGAGGUUCAAAUCCUCUCGUACUAACCA